CGCGGCCUAUCAGCUUGUUGGUGAGGUAACGGCUCACCAAGGCAACGAUGGGUAGCUGGUCUGAGAGGAUGGUCAGCCACAUUGGGACUGAGACACUGCCCAAACUCCUACGGGAGGCUGCAGUCGAGAAUAUUUCGCAAUGGGGGAAACCCUGACGAUGCGACGCCGCGUGGGGGAUGAAGGCCUUCGGGUCGUAAACCUCUGUGUUACGGGAUGAAUUGAGCGUUGCUGAUAACGCAACGUUUUUGACGUUACCGUAGUAGAAAGCCCCAGCUAACUACGUGCCAGCAGCUGCGGUAAUACGUAGGGGGCAAGCGUUGUCCGGAAUCACUGGGCGUAAAGCGCGCGCAGGCGGUGGAGUAAGUCAGACGUGAAAGGGUUCGGCUCAACCGAGCCAUUGCGUUUGAUACUGCCUCACUUGAGUCUAGAAGAGGAAAGUGGAAUGUAUGGUGUAGCGGUGGAAUGCUUAGAUAUCAUAUAGAACACCCGUGGCGAAGGCGGCUUUCUGGUCUAAGACUGACGCUCAUGCGCGAAAGUUUGGGGAGCAACCGGGAUUAGAUACCCCGCUAGUCCUUACUGUAAACGAUGGGUACUAAGUGUAGGGGGUGUUGAUUCCCUCUGUGCUGUAGCUAACGCAUUAAGUACCCCGCCUGGGGAGUACGG
rnacentral:rRNA from 1 species